rnacentral:rRNA from 1 species
CGUGUAGGCGGUUGGGUAAGUCAGAUGUGAAAGCCUUCUGCUUAACAGAAGAAGUGCAUUUGAAACUGCUCGGCUAGAGUACGGGAGAGGAGAGUGGAAUUCCCGGUGUAGAGGUGAAAUUCGUAGAUAUCGGGAGGAACACCAGUGGCGAAGGCGGCUCUCUGGUCCGAUACUGACGCUGAGACGCGAAAGCGUGGGGAGCAAACAGGAUUAGAUACCCUGGUAGUCCACGCCGUAAACGAUGGGCACUAGGUGUAGGAGGUAUUGACCCCUUCUGUGCCGAAGCUAACGCAUUAAGUGCCCCGCCUGGGGAGUACGGACGCAAGGCUAAA